UGGGGAAUAUUUGACAAUGGGCGCAAGCCUGAUCCAGCCAUGCCGCGUGUGUGAAGAAGGCCUUUUGGUUGUAAAGCACUUUAAGCGAGGAGGAGGCUACUUGGAUUAAUACUCUAGGAUAGUGGACGUUACUCGCAGAAUAAGCACCGGCUAACUCUGUGCCAGCAGCCGCGGUAAUACAGAGGGUGCGAGCGUUAAUCGGAUUUACUGGGCGUAAAGCGUGCGUAGGCGGCUUCUUAAGUCGGAUGUGAAAUCCCUGAGCUUAACUUAGGAAUUGCAUUCGAUACUGGGAAGCUAGAGUAUGGGAGAGGAUGGUAGAAUUCCAGGUGUAGCGGUGAAAUGCGUAGAGAUCUGGAGGAAUACCGAUGGCGAAGGCAGCCAUCUGGCCUAAUACUGACGCUGAGGUACGAAAGCAUGGGGAGCAAACAGG
rnacentral:rRNA from 1 species